rnacentral:rRNA from 1 species
GACGAACGCUGGCGGCGUGCCUAAUACAUGCAAGUCGAGCGGACAGAAGGGAGCUUGCUCCCGGAAGUUAGCGGCGGACGGGUGAGUAACACGUGGGCAACCUACCCUGUAGAUCGGGAUAACAUCGAGAAAUCGGUGCUAAUACCGGAUAAUCAUUUGAAGUGCAUGCUUCGAAUGUAAAAGAUGGCUCCGGCUAUCACUACGGGAUGGGCCCGCGGCGCAUUAGCUGGUUGGUAAGGUAAUGGCUUACCAAGGCAACGAUGCGUAGCCGACCUGGGAGGGUGAUCGGCCACACUGGGACUGAGACACGGCCCAGACUCCUACGGGAGGCAGCAGUAGGGAAUCUUCCGCAAUGGACGAAAGUCUGACGGAGCGACGCCGCGUGAGUGAUGAAGGUUUUCGGAUCGUAAAGCUCUGUUGUUAGGGAAGAACAAGUGCCGUUUGAAUAAGGCGGCACCUUGACGGUACCUAACCAGAAAGCCCCGGCUAACUACGUGCCAGCCGCCGCAGUAAAAC